GAAUCUUAGACAAUGGGGGAAACCCUGAUCUCGCCAUGCCUCGUGAUCGAUGAAGGCCUGAGGGUUGUGAAGAUCUUUCAGCUGGGAAGAUAAUGACGGUACCAGCAGAAGAAGCCCCGGAUUACUCCGUGCCAGCAGCCGCGGUAAUACGGAGGGGGCUAGCGUUAGUCGGAUUUACUGGGCGUAAAGCGCACGUAGGCGGAUCAGACAGUUAGGGGUGAAAUCCCGGUGCUCAACCUCGGAACUGCCUCUAGAACUCCUGGUCUUGAGGUAGAGAGAGGUGAGUGGAAUUCCGAGUGUAGAGGUGAAAUUCGUAGAUAUUCAGAGGAACACCAGUGGCGAAGGCGGCUCACUGGCUCGAUACUGACGCUGAGGUGCGAAAGCGUGGGGAGCAAACA
rnacentral:rRNA from 1 species